UCAUUUCAAUCAAUAAUCUCUAUUUAAGUGUAUGCUAUUAUUCUAAUCCGCUCUCGAAUCAUCUAUUUAAAUUAAUUCGCUCUGAAUCUAAAUUUGAGCUUCAACUCGAACUCGCUAGGGUAAACAAUUUUCAGUGUUGUUGCGGUUACCUAGCGUGGAGUGAAACUCAGCUACUAGCCUAAAACAACAUAAGCAGUAGGUUACUUACCGUCCCUAGUGCAAGUGGCAAAAAGUUUUGUGAUUGAUAUUCAAGGUUCCAAGUUCGAAUCCUAGUUGAUUCAUAUUUUCAGCUAAAUUUAUUUCUAAAUGAAAUAAGCGAAACGAAUAACAUACCUAUCUCUCAAAAAAAAAAAAAAAAAAAA
rnacentral:lncRNA from 1 species